CGGGGUGAGUAAUGCUUGGGAAUCUAGCUUAUGGAGGGGGAUAACUACGGGAAACUGUAGCUAAUACCGCGUAAUAUCGAAAGAUUAAAGUGUGGGACCUUCGGGCCACAUGCCAUAAGAUGAGCCCAAGUGGGAUUAGGUAGUUGGUGAGGUAAAGGCUCACCAAGCCGACGAUCUCUAGCUGGUCUGAGAGGAUGACCAGCCACACUGGGACUGAGACACGGCCCAG
rnacentral:rRNA from 1 species